CUUUGUUCUUUUAUCAUAUGUUUAUUUAUUAUGAAACAUUUUUUCAAUAAAAUAAGAUAAUUUUUAAUUUGUUUUUUUACGGCCAUAUACUUUUAUAAAUUAAACAUGUUCUUUUUACUGAGAAAGUAUGUUCUUUACAUUUAAAUUAUAUGUUCUUUUAUAAAUUAGACAUGUUGUUUCUUAAAACAUAGAUCAAUUAUAACAAAUAGAUUAUAGUCGAACAUAGUAAAAAUACUUCAAAUCUCGAGAUAAUCCGGAAAGAAAGAAAAUUUGAUUUUUACCUAGACAAUAUAUUAUUUUGAUGUAAUUAGCUAUGUUCUUUAACUUUGUUUUACAUUAUGACCUAUGUUCAUUUUGUAAAAUGAGAUGAUUUUGAACUAUGUGUUCUUUUACCUAAAAAAUAUGUUCUUUUUAAUGUUAUUAGAUAUGUUAUUUGUUUUUUUUUUUCCAUUAUGACGUUUUUUUUUUUUAUAUGAAAUGAGAUAAUUUUAAACUAUAUGUUCUAUUUUAAUGUGAUUGAAUAUGUUCUUUUACAUUUUUAUCGAUUAUGUCCUAUGUUCUUUUUUAUUAAAUGAUAUACUUUUGAACUAUGUAUUCUUUUUACCUGACUAAUAUGCUAAUUAAAUUUAAUUAAUGUUCUUUUAUGACCUAUGUCACACAUCGAGUAAAGUUAAAAAAAAAAAUACUUGAUUUAAUUAUUUUCAUCAUUAACGUAUUUAUUUUUUUACUUACAAGUAAACUCGGUUGAUGGAGGGCAAAAUAUUGGGGUCUUUGCUUUAAAUCUUGAGAUAUUUUAGAGAUAGAAAACAAAUUUACCAUAAGAAACAAUUAAAAUAGGCAAAAUAAUUAUUAAAGGAAACUAAUCUUCUAUUUUGGUGGUGGAGGAAAAGUUAGCUUCUAAAUUUCAGUGUACUAUUGGUUCUUUACUAUAUGGGCCUGUUCUCCCCAGCUUAUUUUCAGUUAAGUUCAGUUCAGUUCAGUUCAAUUUCAGUUCAGCUCAAUUCAGUUCAGAUCAGUUCAGUUCAGUUCAGAUCAGUUCAGUUCAGCUCAGUUCAGUUCAGCUCAGCUUUUGACAAUACUUUUACUCUCACAUAUUACUAUUCAUUUCAGUUCAAUUCAGUUCAGUCCAACUGUUUAUGCCGAAGAGAAUAGACCCUAUGUUACUACUAAUCUUCUCUUUUGCGUUUUAUUCUUCACAUCAUGUCGUUCAGGCCAGGUGCACAUAGCUCGCGCACUAUCCACCUGGGUCACUGGGUGUCUGGGUGCACUGUUCAUGCAUUGCUUAUUUUGUUCGUUUGAAAAAUCAAUCAAACCCUGUUUAUAAAAUUCAGUUCCCGCUUUCAAUGUCUCCUGCUUGUUUUCUUUAACUCGCUAAUCGCAAUGCACACUAAGUGUUUGAUGAAUCUCCCCACUGAGAAAAUUUCCGGGAUUCUCUACUGUACUUUCUGUUUCGUCAUCUACUAGUGUAUAUGAGACAAAAAUUGGCAAAUUUGACCCUGUUUGUUUGUGUAGGUUUAGGUAGUAUAACUGGUGCAAGAUUACUCUCAUAAAAUUUUAGGAAUGUGGAAGAUCAUAAUUUUAACUUGGUUAACUUUUCGGUUUCCCAUUUGCCUAGAUUUCAUGAAUGCUUAAUCUUUUUCUGAGUCUGUGCAAAAUGGUGCAUUUUCUGGGAUGAGUGGAAAAGAUCUUCUACGAGAUUUUAGUGGGUGGUUACUGUUUUCUUUUGGGAGCAAGAUAAAUUGGAUGGCAUUCCAAGGCACUACAGAUAAAUUGGAGAUUAAGUUAUAUUUUGAAUAAGCAACAAAGAACUAUGAGCUUCCCCAUAACAUAUGGGUACCUUACAAACUUCAUGAUAAACUUAUUUCUUUUGGCGUAAUAUUAUGAUUUACUGGGGUAAUCUCAAAAGUUGAACAGGGAUAAAGAAUAGAAUUUUCUAAGGUGUAGAAUUAUAUUAUGUGUAAUAUUUAUAUUUCUAAGAUGGGUUUGUCUUGAUCACAUAUGGGGGAUGUUAUGAGGUCCAGCCGUCCAGGUAGUGGGUUUUGCAAUCUUGCUUAAGUUAAAGUGUGACAGUACCUUGUUAAAUUAUUGACAAUCUGAUAUGCACCUUAUAUUUAUUGUUAAUCAGGAUAUGCAGCAUAUGAUCUGAAUAUGGCUAUUGUCACGGCUGUUGGCUAUCUCUUAGGGACUUCAUUGUGAAAGCUAACCUUGAUAUUGAUUCUGCUGCUGGAGGAUAAGAUAAGACAUAAGAUCAAGCCAUCAAGGUAAAAAUGAAUCAGCUUCAGCAUUGUCAAUGAUUCAUGUUUUGAAGCAAGCACAUGAUUACAUGAUUACAAGGAGUUCUUCCUGUAUACUUCUAAAGCUGGAAGUACAAAUUUGGCCCAACUUGGCUUGGCGUUAGCAUACCCGGGCGAUGUGCCACGCUUGAGCUCGAUUUUUAGAGAAGUUGACACGAGGAUGGCGCUACUCGACUCGUCUGUUAGUUGGCUUGUUAUUACUAUGGUAUGCUGUGACUAUGUCGUAGGCCAUCCGUCAGCAGCCAGUGCAACAAGUAUCUAGAUGCUAAAGAGGAGGGUUUUUCAAAUGAAGAUUUCUAUUUGUUUAAUUGUUUGGAGAAACAGUGAAAACCCUAUUUUAACGUGCGUCUUUGACAACAUUUUGUCAAAUAUCUACUUUCUCUUAAGGCUUAUAAGUAUGAAAAGCAUACCCAAAGAACCCCCUGAUUUGUCAUUAGUGAACGGUGGUUAAAAAAGACUGAUGAAUGUGUGUUAUUUGUUGGGGGUUGUUUGACUAUGAAAGCUGUAUAUUUUACCUAAUGUGGUAUCUUGUUUGAAUUGAGGAAAAAGGGGUCAAAGAAAUAUAGUGAGUAGCGACUUAAUUUGCUUAGAGUUUUCAACAUAAAGCUAGAUCUCAAUUUGUUAAAACAUUUCAUAAAGCUGUAAAGCUUCUAAGAGACUGUACACUUAAGGUUCUAAAAUCAUGUGAAUGCAACCAAGUUUUGAUA